rnacentral:lncRNA from 1 species
GGAUCCAGCUCCACUGAUUUUCAGCAGUGACGGAUGGCAAAGACAGGAAGGAGCUUUCCCUGUUCCAUGUACACAGACAUACAGUUUCUUCUGAAGACAUGAGUAUGGAGAGAAGACAACAGGAUACCUUUAAUUUCUGUUUGAUCAGCUGUUUAGUCAUCACAGACUGGAGUUGACAUUCAAUGGAUGGUGGAAACUGGGGAGGAAAAAAUACUUGAAAGCAUGAAGAACUAACAUCAUUUAUGGCAAAGGAAAUAGUCAUAUGUGUCAUGUCCUUCUGAACAAAACGGAGUUGCGACAGAUCUCCAGAGACUCUCUGUGUCCACUGCAUCCUCUGUGACAAGGACUGGGGCUGAGCUUCUUCCUGCUGUUGUUCUGACAUGGUUUUCCCAGGCUUUUUCAUCUGUGGUCAGAUAACUCUCAAUAAGGAAUAUAACAUUUCAAUUUGUGCCUAAUAACGAAGGGUCAAAUAUAAUUUCAUAUUUUUUCCUUUGUUUUUUUUCUGCCCACUUCUUUAGAAAUUUACAAUAGCAAGUUGCAUCUUUACACCUUUUUCUUGAAAAAACAAACAAUGGACAACAGGAGAAUUAGUAAGAUGAGCUUUUACAAACAUGCAGUGAAUCUGAGGAAGUAGAAAUAGAAGUAAUUUCUAAUCCAGCAGCUAGAAACGCCAUGUGGCAGAAUGUCUGGAGAAAAGAGGGAGGUGGGUGCCUGAGACCCAAGAGUGAGGAUGUUAUUAAGAAUCAUGGUGCAUCCAAACAUGCUCCAGGCAAGAAAUACAUGCAUUUUGCUUUAAAAGUCUCAAGUGCCAUGCUGAGAAUUCUCACCAGUCAGCCCCUUUUGAUCCCACAGAGCACACACAGCUUGGCCACAGGGUACCCAGUGAUUUUGAAUGUUUUGUUGUCAUCUCCAAGAAAUGUGAUCCCGGAAGUCUUCAGGCUUCAGGUCACAUUUAUAGCAAGGCUCAUGAAAAGUACCAGUGAGGUCCACCAGAAUGAACCUACCAUAUUCUAUAACAUCCUAUCUUAAGAUGAGAAUUAAAAGACUGUGCUGGUGGGAAUGGGAUUUUUGACUGGCAGAGGAACUGUUAGUGCUAUCUGUCUUACCAGACCUGCAAAAUAAAAUGUCAGAAAAUCCAGGAACCUGUAUCCUAAAUGACUCUGCAAGUGCCAGAUUGGUUCCCUACUGGGUGUUAAGUGAGCAAGGAAAUCCACAUCAAGGUCAUACCAAAUGGGAGCUGAAGAACUGAGUAGUGCCGUGCUGACAUGGCCCUUACCCUGUGUGGCUGUAGGCAUUUGACACCUGCUUCUAAAGGGCUUGUUGCAAGUACAUUCACAGAUCACCUUUCUGGGUGAUUACUUUGUCAUAG